AUACUAGGUUUACCACCGUGGAGCUCUGGGAACCUCACAGGAAACACUUAAAAUAGGAUGUUAAACUGGUGUUUGUCUUCCGGUACCAGGACAUAAGCCAGGAGUGCACACUGGAGCUUGCUUAAAUGGCACGUGGCUGGCACCAACUGUUGAUUUUCUUUCUUGAUUGAUUGCUGCUGAUUCCUGCCCUGACCUUGAAUUUAAAGACACAGAAUUGUUAUUGCAAGUGUUUCAUCUCAGAAGACACCUGCCUUCUCAGGUUUAAAGAGACAAGACGGAGAACACGGAAGACAUCAACACCUUCCAGCAAUCCAAAUAAAUAAACAUCAUUUUUGAUGUCAGUCCUUUAAUGGCUGUCCUCCUCCUUGAAUAUUAAGAAUAUCAUCACAGAACCUAGAAAGCCAGCCAGAAGAGUUGUGAUUUUUACUAAAUGGUAUUAACAAAACCAAAGCUAAAAAAGCAUAAGAAAUGGAGAGUAAUGCUGCAUUUUGUAUAGAUCUUCUAUUGUGGCGCUGCACAUUUGGUUUCAUUAAACUGUCUAAUUU
rnacentral:lncRNA from 7 species